GAUGAAGAACGUAGCGAAAUGCGAUACUUGGUGUGAAUUGCAGAAUCCCGUGAACCAUCGAGUCUUUGAACACAAGUUGCGCCUCAAGCCAUUAGGUUGAGGGCACGUCUGCCUGGGCGUCACAUAUCGUUGCCUGAUGCCAGUUUCCUCGUGAUGGGUGACUGUGCAGGGCGAAUGAUGGCUUCCCGUGAGCAUUGUUGCCUCAUGGUUGGUUGAAAAUUGAGUCCUUGGUAGGGAGCGCCGUGAUAGAUGGUGGUUGAGUGACGAACGAGACCCAAUCAUGUGAGACCCCUACCGAAUUUGGCCUUCAUGACCCACAUGCGUCUUUGGAACGCUCAUGACGAGACCUCAGGUCAGGCGGGGCUACCCGCUGAGUUUAAGCAUAUCAAUAAGCGGAGGA
rnacentral:misc_RNA from 1 species